UACGGAGGGGGCUAGCGUUGUUCGGAAUUACUGGGCGUAAAGCGCACGUAGGCGGCUUUGCAAGUCAGAGGUGAAAGCCCGGGGCUCAACCCCGGAAUUGCCUUUGAGACUGCAUCGCUAGAACGUCGGAGAGGUGAGUGGAAUUCCGAGUGUAGAGGUGAAAUUCGUAGAUAUUCGGAGGAACACCGGUGGCGAAGGCGGCCUGCUGGGCUAUGGCUGACACUGAGGCGCGACAGCGUGGGGAGCAAACAGG
rnacentral:rRNA from 1 species